UGAGACGAUCUGUCAGCAUGUGCGUGUUGCACCAAAAAACUCGUUUAUGGUCUAAUGUGUUAAAAUAACAGGAUAAAGACAAAAAAGAAGCUAGAACAAUAUAAAACAUGUGUUUUGACUCUGCCACGUCUUUUUGGCUUUCUAUUCAAUUUGGGCUCAACAUAAAAUGUGACACUUUCCUGUCGAAAACAGAAGUUCUUGUCCGUUUCUUCAACCUAACGACAACAGUCAUCAUGAAAUCCAUUGCGGGAUUUGGUUCUCUUUUGCUUAUUGCCGUUUUGAUCAAUGUGGCUCAGUGUCGUCAAUUCCGGAGAUCCUCCUUAUUGGACGAAGAAUCCAUUAACCGAGAUGGACUCCCAUCUUAUGAGGCCACAAUGAAGCCUCUCCUUGAAAAAUGCCGGACUGACCAAUCUCAAUGGGAAUGCCAAUUAUUUCAAUUGACAGAUGACCAUGAAUUAACUAUUCCACCCUAUUAUUUGUUAGUAAAUCAUUUCAUUUUUGGCUGCGCGAUUGCGGAAGGAACAAGGGCCCAACCAAAGUGGUGCAAAGAGCUUCAAUCGUCCGAUGGAAAAUACGUUGUUCCAUCUUUUGAGGAAUUUCAAAAAAUAUUCCAAACCAAAUGUAAGGCUGAUGUAACACCCGAUCUGAGCUACAUGUGCAUAUUUUUUGGAUUUUAAUGAUUAUGUCGUGUUGCUUCCUCUCUCUCCGACAACUACCUGUUGAUAAAUUGGGAUCAGUACAAGCCAAUCAAAGAGAGUAAAAAUAUAGUAUGAAUAAGCAGAUUAAAAGGCGUGAUGGAACCAUC